rnacentral:rRNA from 1 species
UACCUGCAGCUCAAGUAGUGACCGCUAUUAUUGGGCCUAAAACGUUCGUAGCCGGUUUGGUAAAUGCCUGGGUAAAUAGUGUAGCUUAACUAUACGAAUUCCGGGUAGACUGCCAAACUUGAGACCGGGAGAGGCUAGAGGUACUCCUGGGGUAGAGGUGAAAUUCUGUAAUCCUGAGGGGACCACCAGUGGCGAAGGCGUCUAGCUAGAACGGGUCUGACGGUGAGGGACGAAGCCCUGGGGCGCAAACCGGAUUAGAUACCCGGGUAGUCCAGGGUGUAAACGCUGCUUGCUUGAUGUUAGUUGGGCUCCGAGCCCAAUUAGUGUCGGAGAGAAGUUGUUAAGCAAGCUGCCUGGGAAGUACGAUCGCAAGAUUGAGACUUAAAGGAAUUGGCGGGGGAGCACAGCAACGGGUGGAGCGUGCGGUUU